CAGUCGCCACGGGAAUACAGAGGGUGCGAGCGUUAAUCGGAUUUACUGGGCGUAAAGCGUGCGUAGGCGGCUUUUUAAGUCGGAUGUGAAAUCCCUGAGCUUAACUUAGGAAUUGCAUUCGAUACUGGGAAGCUAGAGUAUGGGAGAGGAUGGUAGAAUUCCAGGUGUAGCGGUGAAAUGCGUAGAGAUCUGGAGGAAUACCGAUGGCGAAGGCAGCCAUCUGGCCUAAUACUGACGCUGAGGUACGAAAGCAUGGGAAGCAAACAGGAUUAGAUACCCGCGUAGUCCCUGUCUCUUAUAC
rnacentral:rRNA from 1 species